rnacentral:rRNA from 1 species
UACAGAGGGUGCGAGCGUUGUCCGGAAUUACUGGGCGUAAAGCGCGUGUAGGCGGCCAAGCAAGUCGGGUGUGAAAGCCCUCGGCUCAACCGAGGAAGUGCACUCGAAACUGCUUGGCUCGAGUCCCGGAGAGGAUAGUGGAAUUCUCGGUGUAGAGGUGAAAUUCGUAGAUAUCGAGAGGAACACCGGUGGCGAAGGCGGCUAUCUGGACGGUGACUGACGCUGAGACGCGAAAGCGUGGGGAGCAAACAGG